rnacentral:rRNA from 1 species
AGUGAACGCUGGCGGUAGGCCUAACACAUGCAAGUCGAACGGCAGCACAGUAAGAGCUUGCUCUUACGGGUGGCGAGUGGCGGACGGGUGAGGAAUACAUCGGAAUCUACUUUUUCGUGGGGGAUAACGUAGGGAAACUUACGCUAAUACCGCAUACGACCUACGGGUGAAAGCAGGGGAUCUUCGGACCUUGCGCGAUUGAAUGAGCCGAUGUCGGAUUAGCUAGUUGGCGGGGUAAAGGCCCACCAAGGCGACGAUCCGUAGCUGGUCUGAGAGGAUGAUCAGCCACACUGGAACUGAGACACGGUCCAGACUCCUACGGGAGGCAGCAGUGGGGAAUAUUGGACAAUGGGCGCAAGCCUGAUCCAGCCAUACCGCGUGGGUGAAGAAGGCCUUCGGGUUGUAAAGCCCUUUUGUUGGGAAAGAAAAGCUGUAGGUUAAUACCCCGCUGUUCUGACGGUACCUAAAGAAUAAGCACCGGCUAACUUCGUG